GUUAAGGUGGCAGAGCCUGGUAAAUGCAAAAGACCUAAGCCCUUUCACCCAGAGGUUCAAAUCCUCUCCUUAACU
rnacentral:tRNA from 1 species